AUUGAACGCUGGCGGCAGGCCUAACACAUGCAAGUCGAGCGGAUGAAGGGAGCUUGCUCCUGGAUUCAGCGGCGGACGGGUGAGUAAUGCCUAGGAAUCUGCCUGGUAGUGGGGGAUAACGUCCGGAAACGGGCGCUAAUACCGCAUACGUCCUGAGGGAGAAAGUGGGGGAUCUUAGGACCUCACGCUAUUAGAUGAGCCUAGGUCGGAUUAGCUAGUUGGUGGGGUAAAGGCCUACCAAGGCGACGAUCCGUAACUGGUCUGAGAGGAUGAUCAGUCACACUGGAACUGAGACACGGUCCAGACUCCUACGGGAGGCAGCAGUGGGGAAUAUUGGACAAUGGGCGAAAGCCUGAUCCAGCCAUGCCGCGUGUGUGAAGAAGGUCUUCGGAUUGUAAAGCACUUUUAGUUGGGAGGAAGGGCAGUAAGUGAAUACCUUGCUGUUUUGACGUUACCUACAGAAUAAGCACCGGCUAACUUCGUG
rnacentral:rRNA from 1 species